UACGGAGGGUGCGAGCGUUGUCCGGAAUCACUGGGCGUAAAGGGCGCGUAGGCGGCCGAGCAAGGUCGCGGUGAAAGCCCGGGGCUCAACCCCGGGUCGGCCGUGGCAACUACUUGGCUGGAGCACUGUAGGGGCGGGUGGAAUUCCGGGUGUAGCGGUGGAAUGCGUAGAGAUCAGGAAGAACAUCGGUGGCGAAGGCGCUCUGCUGGACCAUAACUGACACUCAGGGACGAAAGCUAGGGGAGCGAAUGGG
rnacentral:rRNA from 1 species